GACGAACGCUGGCGGCGUGCCUAAUACAUGCAAGUCGAACGAACGGAUUGAGGAGCUUGCUCUUCAUGAAGUUAGUGGCGGACGGGUGAGUAACACGUGGGUAACCUGCCCUUCAGUGGGGGAUAACAUCCGGAAACGGGUGCUAAUACCGCAUAGUUUCUUUUUCCGCCUGGAAGAAGAAGGAGAGAUGGCCUUUGCGCUAUCACUGAGGGAUGGACCCGCGGCGUAUUAGUUAGUUGGUGGGGUAAUGGCCUACCAAGACGAUAAUGCGUAGCCGACCUGAGAGGGUGACCGGCCACACUGGGACUGAGACACGGCCCAG
rnacentral:rRNA from 1 species